CGGGUAGCCGGCCUGAGAGGGCGACCGGCCACACUGGGACUGAGACACGGCCCAGACUCCUGCGGGAGGCAGCAGUGGGGAAUAUUGCGCAAUGGGCGAAAGCCUGACGCAGCGACGCCGCGUGGGGGAUGACGGCCUUCGGGUUGUAAACCUCUUUUACCACCAACGCAGGCUCGAAGUUUUCUUCGGGUUGACGGUAGGUGGGGAAUAAGGACCGGCUAACUACGUGCCAGCAGCCGCGGUAAUACGUAGGGUCCGAGCGUUGUCCGGAAUUAUUGGGCGUAAAGAGCUCGUAGGCGGCGUGUCGCGUCUGCUGUGAAAGACCGGGGCUUAACUCCGGUUCUGCAGUGGAUACGGGCAUGCUAGAGGUAGGUAGGGGAGACUGGAAUUCCUGGUGUAGCGGUGAAAUGCGCAGAUAUCAGGAGGAACACCGGUGGCGAAGGCGGGUCUCUGGGCCUUACCUGACGCUGAGGAGCGAAAGCAUGGGGAGCGAACAGGAUUAGAUACCCUGGUAGUCCAUGCCGUAAACGUUGGGCGCUAGGUGUGGGGACUUUCCACGGUUUCCGCGCCGUAGCUAACGCAUUAAGCGCCCCGCCUGGGGGAGUACGGA
rnacentral:rRNA from 1 species